rnacentral:tRNA from 1 species
GGGGCAGCGGCACAAGAAGAACGUGUCUGACUUUGGAUCCGAAGACUGUAGGUUUGACUCCUACCUGACUCA